rnacentral:rRNA from 1 species
UACGUAGGGAGCAAGCGUUGUCCGGAAUCAUUGGGCGUAAAGAGCGCGUAGGCGGCCCUGUAAGUCCGCUCUGAAAGUCAAAGGCUCAACCUUUGAAAGCGGGUGGAUACUGCAGGGCUAGAGUCCGGAAGAGGCGAGUGGAAUUCCUGGUGUAGCGGUGGAAUGCGCAGAUAUCAGGAGGAACACCAACGGCGAAGGCAGCUCGCUGGGACGGUACUGACGCUGAGGCGCGAAAGCGUGGGGAGCAAACAGG